GGGGAUUUAGCUCAGCUGGGAGAGCGCUUCCAUGGCAUGGAAGAGGUCAGGGGUUCGAGCCCCCUAAUCUCCA
rnacentral:tRNA from 1 species